rnacentral:rRNA from 1 species
GACGAACGCUGGCGGCGUGCUUAACACAUGCAAGUCGAACGGUAAGGCCCUUCGGGGUACACGAGUGGCGAACGGGUGAGUAACACGUGGGUGAUCUGCCCUGCACUUCGGGAUAAGCCUGGGAAACUGGGUCUAAUACCGGAUAGGACUUCUGGCUUCAUGGUUGGGGGUGGAAAGCUUUUGCGGUGUGGGAUGGGCCCGCGGCCUAUCAGCUUGUUGGGGGGGUGAUGGCCUACCAAGGCGACGACGGGUAGCCGGCCUGAGAGGGUGACCGGUCACACUGGGGCUGAGAUACGGCCCAGACUCCUACGGGAGGCAGCAGUGGGGAAUAUUGCACAAUGGGCGCAAGCCUGAUGCAGCGACGCCGCGUGAGGGAUGACGGCCUUCGGGUUGUAAACCUCUUUCAGCUAUGACGAAGCGCAAGUGACGGUAGUAGCAGAAGAAGGACCGGCCAACUACGUGCCAGCCGCCGCCGUAA